rnacentral:rRNA from 1 species
ACGGGAGGCAGCAGUGAGGAAUAUUGGUCAAUGGAGGCAACUCUGAACCAGCCAUCUCGCGUGAAGGAAUACGGCCCUACGGGUCUUAAACUUCUUUUAUAGGGGGAUAAAGUGAGAUAUGCAUAUCUUUUUGUAGGUACCCUAUGAAUAAGCAUCGGCUAACUCCGUGCCAGCAGCCGCGGUAAUACGGAAGGUCCGAGCGUUAUCCGGAUUUAUUGGGUUUAAAGGGAGCGCAGGCGGAGAGGCAAGCCAGCCGUAAAAUCGUUGAGCUCAACUCAAUCUCGCGGUUGGAACUGCUUCCCUUGAGUGCACGAGAGGAUGGUGAAAUUCGUGGUGUAGCGGUGAAAUGCAUAGAUAUCACGAAGAACUCCGAUUGCGAAGGCAGCCAUCUGGCGUGUUACUGACGCUCAUGCUCGAAGGCGCGGGUAUCAAACAGGAUUAGAUACCCUGGUA